GCCUGGGUGGCUCAGUCUGUUGAGCGUCCGACUUCAGCUCAGGUCAUGAUCUCACGGUUUGUGGGUUCGAGCCCCACGUCAGGCU
rnacentral:tRNA from 1 species